CCUACGGGCGGCAGCAGUGGGGAAUAUUGGACAAUGGGCGAAAGCCUGAUCCAGCCAUGCCGCGUGUGUGAAGAAGGCCUUCGGGUUGUAAAGCACUUUCAGUGGGGAAGAAAGCCUUGGGGCUAAUACCCUCGAGGAAGGACAUCACCCACAGAAGAAGCACCGGCUAACUCCGUGCCAGCAGCCGCGGUAAUACGGAGGGUGCGAGCGUUAAUCGGAAUUACUGGGCGUAAAGCGCGCGUAGGCGGUCUGAUAAGCCGGUUGUGAAAGCCCCUGGCUCAACCUGGGAACGGCAUCCGGAACUGUCAGGCUAGAGUGCAGGAGAGGAAGGUAGAAUUCCCGGUGUAGCGGUGAAAUGCGUAGAGAUCGGGAGGAAUACCAGUGGCGAAGGCGGCCUUCUGGACUGACACUGACGCUGAGGUGCGAAAGCGUGGGUAGCAAACAGGAUUAGAUACCCUAGUAGUC
rnacentral:rRNA from 1 species